rnacentral:rRNA from 1 species
GAAUAUUGGACAAUGGGGGCAACCCUGAUCCAGCAAUGCCGCGUGUGUGAAGAAGGCCUUCGGGUUGUAAAGCACUUUAAGUUGGGAGGAAAAGCUGCUUGUUAAUAGCGAGUAGUGUUGACGUUACCAACAGAAUAAGCACCGGCUACCUCCGUGCCAGCAGCCGCGGUAAUACGGAGGGUGCAAGCGUUAAUCGGAAUUACUGGGCGUAAAGCGCGCGUAGGCGGUUUGUUAAGUCAGAUGUGAAAUCCCCGGGCUCAACCUGGGAAUGGCAUUUGAGACUGGCAGGCUAGAGUGUGGUAGAGGUGAGUGGAAUUUCAGGUGUAGCGGUGAAAUGCGUAGAGAUCUGAAGGAACAUCAGUGGCGAAGGCGACUCACUGGGCCAUUACUGACGCUGAGGUGCGAAAGCGUGGGUAGCAAACAGG